rnacentral:rRNA from 1 species
GACGAACGCUGGCGGCGUGCUUAACACAUGCAAGUCGAACGAAGUGGCGAACGGGUGAGUAACGCGUAAUCAACCUGCCCUUCAGUGGGGUACAACAGUUGGAAACGACUGCUACUACCGCAUACCCAAGGAGGGGAUUGCGUCUGAUUAGCUAGUUGGAGGGGUAACGGCCCACCAAGGCGACGAUCAGUAGCCGGCCUGAGAGGUGGAACGGCCACAUUGGGACUGAGACACGGCCCAGACUCCUACGGGAGGCAGCAGUGGGGAAUCUUCCGCAAUGGACGAAAGUCUGACGGAGCAACGCCGCGUGAGUGAUGAAGGCCUUCGGGUCGUAAAGCUCUGUUAAUCGGGACGCGGUACCGGAAUAGAAAGCCACGGCUAACUACGUGCCAGCAGCCGCGGUAAUAC